UUCACAGCUCGCUCCAGGAACACUCUGGUUCUACCACGAAUAAUGCUGUGCUCCUAACCACCAUGGCUUUGCAAUGAGAGGGUGUGCUGUGCGACUGGGCUUCAGUCCCUUCUGCCUGUCUCAGCAGACUCUGGAACUCAGCUGCCUGGGACAAACUCUGCUUCUCCACAUCCCAGCUGUCUGACCUUGGCUUUUAGAUGAAGAAGACAGUAAUCACGGCCACCACAACACGACGAUGGUGAGAGACAAAUAGGAAAGUAGCUGUGGAAGAGCUUUGAAGGCCUCCUCCAUUUGUGUGUGUCUAUCAGACACUGAAGUCCAUAUUUCCUUAAAUUAAACCCAGGCUUUGUAGUCCUUGGCUACAACCAAGUCUCUUGCUGAUACCCUCAA